GUCCUUUUGAGAUUUAUUUAAGGUUUAACCUGCCCACUGAUUUAUUGAAGGGCCGCAGUAUUUUGACUGUGCAAAGGUAGCAUAAUCAUUAGUUUUUUAAUUAAAAGCUUGUAUGAAGGGUUGGACGAGGUAAAUUCUGUCUCUGAAUAAUUAAUUUUAGAAUUUAAUUUUUGAGUUAAAAAGCUUAAAUUAAUUUAAAAGACGAGAAGACCCUAUAGAUCUUUAUAAUAAAUUUAUUAGUUAUAUAUAGGAUUAUUUAAUUAAUUAAUAGAUUUAUUAUUUUAUUGGGGUAAUAAAAAGAUUUAAAUAAUUCUUUUUUUUAUUAUAACAUUAAUAAAUGAAUUUAUGAUCCAAUAUUAUUGAUUAUAAGAUUAAGUUACCUUAGGGAUAACAGCGUAAUUUUUUUAGAGAGUUCUUAUCGAUAAAAAAGUUUGCGACCUCGAUGUUGGAUUAAAAAUUAUUUUAGGUGUAGAAGCUUGAAAUUUUGGUCUGUUCGACCAUUAAAUUUUUACAUGAUCUGAGUUCAGACCGGCGUAAGCCAGGUCGGUUUCUAUCUUUAGAAAAAUUUUAGAUUUUAGUACGAAAGGACCAAAUUUAAGGUAUAUUUAUAUUUGAGGGUGUGAUUAU
rnacentral:rRNA from 1 species